rnacentral:rRNA from 1 species
CGGUGACUGGAGUCCCGGGAAGAGUUCUCUUUUCUUGUUAACAGUUCCGCAGGCCCUGGAAUCGGAUUAUCCGGCGAUAGGGUCUGGUGGCUGGGAAAGCAGCUUAAUCUUUGAGCUGUCCGGUGCUCUCCAGACGGCCCUUGAAAAUCCGGUGGCGUGACUUAUUUACACCCCAGGUCGUACUCAUAACCGCAUCAGGUCUCCAAGGUGAGUAGCCUCUAGUCGAUAGAGUAAUGUGGAUAAGGGAAGUCGGCAAAAUAGAUCCGUAACCUCGGGAAAAGGAUUGGCUCUGAGGGUUGGGCCUAGGGGUCUUGGGAACGAAGGAGUAACCUGUGGGCUGUGGCUGCGUAUCUUCACGGAAGCGCGGCUUGGCACGCUGGCCUCUAGAGGGCCCGAGGACGCCUUGUACUUGUACUUGGCUUUCCCUAGUGCGUGGAACAACCAACUCAGAACUGGAGCGGACAAGGGGAAUCCGACUG